AAAAAAAGAAAACAUAGAGCAUCUUAUGUAUUACUUCAAGUUAGAUGUCUAUGUUCUUGAUGAUGAAGUGCAAGAUAAGAUAUAUCAGAAUUGGCACCACCAAGUAGAUCACAUUUCACCAUGACAAAUUUGAAGGAUUAUUUGACAAGCUAGGGGUAAGCAACAGCAACAGAAGACUCUGGGCUGAUGAACCAGUCUUUAGAGUAAGCAUGUUUAGUAACUUGGAUCUCCAUGCAGUAUCAUAUAGAAGUUUUAUCAAGAUAUCUACCGGAAAAUGGCUCCCUGUUUAUUUGAUCAUGGGAACUGUCUGAUACAGCAAACGACAAAAAACCAACAUCCUUAUUUCCUUUCGGAAUCAUUUGCUAAAUUGGUCGAAAACUGCAAGUGUCUCACAACAUAAAAAUGAACAUCCUCAUCAUGGGUUUUCUUCUAGGAGAUGUAGCGAAGCCCUAUUCUAAUUCUAGUGCGCUGCUCCGCCAACCUCCUGCAAAGCAAAACAACACACGCAGUUGAGUAAGUACUUCAAAGGAUAUCAUACCACAUUGAGCUUUCAGAGCAAAUUUUCCCUACGAUUCUUAGAUAUUAAACGGCUUUAAUCUGUGAAGAUCUCUCUGUGAAUAUGAGCAAAAUAUUGAGAGGAUUCUCAUACUCGUUGAGCUUAAGGUUCUUAUACCCGAAUAUCUGCUUACCGUAUGCUGUAUGAAACUAUUGUGCUCAGCCACGGUCAAUAUUAACCAGUGUUGUCUGAAGGAAGAGAUUGAUGACAUGUCAGAAAGGCCUUGCAUCUAAGAGGUCUGUGUAUGUAUAUAGCCGAGCAGUGUAAUCUGCAGGAACUGCUUAGUAAAUUACAGUUGAAGUAGGAAGGGAUGCUUGAUAUAAAGUCUAUAUUGGAAGCUGACAUUGAAGCUCGUCAAAACCCUAGGUAUAUAUGCAAACAUGUAUCGGGGCUAUUUGGGAAGGUGAAACCAAUAAGGAAGCAAGGGGUCUUUGAGAAGACAUGUGCCUCAGAUCAGCUAUGCUCUGACUUAUAGUUAUGGAAGAUGAGUACCAGUAGGAUCUUACAGACUACUCGAUCUAAGGAGUGCUAAAAAAAGGGAAAUAUGAGAAAUUGAUGAGGCUAUUGCAUAAAGAUCGAUGUUCCAGAUAUAAAAAGAUAACAUGGAUAAUGAAGCCAAAGAGGAUGGGUUUGAUGAAAGCAAUAGCGCGGAUUCUAAUGUUGGUGGUUCAACUGUGCUAGUUAUUGAGGAUUCCGACCAUUAAUGUUCUAAUAGUUAUUUAUUGAAGGCUAAAUACACUUGUUUCAUGAAAAAAAUCAUUUAAUUAUAUAA